rnacentral:rRNA from 1 species
GAUGAACGCUGGCGGCGUGCCUAAUACAUGCAAGUCGAGCGAACAGAUGAGGAGCUUGCUCCUCUGACGUUAGCGGCGGACGGGUGAGUAACACGUGGAUAACCUACCUAUAAGACUGGGAUAACUUCGGGAAACCGGAGCUAAUACCGGAUAAUAUAUUGAACCGCAUGGUUCAAUAGUGAAAGACGGUUUUGCUGUCACUUAUAGAUGGAUCCGCGCCGCAUUAGCUAGUUGGUAAGGUAACGGCUUACCAAGGCAACGAUGCGUAGCCGACCUGAGAGGGUGAUCGGCCACACUGGAACUGAGACACGGACCAGACUCCUACGAGAGGCAGCAGUAGGGAAUGUUCCGCAAUGGGCGAAAGCCUUACGGAGCAAGGCCGCGUGAGUGAUGAAGGUCUUCGGAUCGUAAAACUCUGUUAUUAGGGAAGAACAAAUGUGUAAGUAACUAUGCACGUCUUGACGGUACCUAAUCAGAAAGCCACGGCUAACUACGUG